AUUCAGCUGACGAGUCCCAAAUAGGACGAAAUGCGCGUCAUGGAU
rnacentral:hammerhead_ribozyme from 1 species